rfam:Aphanomyces astaci strain APO3 cont1.2529, whole genome shotgun sequence.
GACGUCGUAGCGCAAUGGUAGCGCGCCUGCUUGCAGGGGGCCUAGGUUCGAUUCCUAGCGACGCCG